CAAUAGCGUAUAUUAAAGUUGUUGCAGUUAAAAAGCUCGUAGUUGGAUUUCUGGUUGAAGCGACCGGUCGGGCGUUGAUUCGUCUGCACUGGAGUCGGUUUUGGCCAUCCUCUAGGAAAGUGCGUCUGGUAAUAAGUUAUCGGGCGUAUGAUCCUGGUCUUUUACUGUGAAAAAAUUAGAGUGUUUAAAGCAGGCCUUCGCCUUGAAUACAUUAGCAUGGAAUAAUAAGAUAGGACUUUGGUCUAUUUUGUUGGUUUGCAGACCGAAGUAAUGAUUAAUAGGGAUAGUUGGGGGUAUUUAUAUUCCGAUGUCAGAGGUGAAAUUCUUAGAUUUUCGGAAGAUAAACUUAUGCGAAAGCAUUUACCAAGGAUGUUUUCAUUAA
rnacentral:rRNA from 1 species